CUCUUGGCUAAAGUGGUUCGCCGGCAGACACACUGCUCCAUUUCGCUCGCACGGCACACGAAAAGCGUGCGAAAAAGCGCGUGUGGGCAUUAAAAAACACAUCAAAAAAAGACCGCGGGCUUUGACAGGUGGAGGUGGUAUAAGAGCUCAUCCCAAAAGAUUUUGAAGGCCAUUUUCAGUAGAGCGCCUUACAGGAAGGUUCCAUUUAAAGGGAGAAGAGUAAAGCUAGUUCAUUGGAAAAGAAAAAGUGUCCAAGAUUCUGUAAACGGUACAAGUGUACAAGAGUAGUAAUUUUGAUGAUGUUUUGUACACGCAAAUUGUUGCUAUGUUUUAUCCUGCUGGCGCUGGUGUCACGCAAUAUCGCGCAAAGGUGUGGAGGUCCUAUUUAUUACGGGUGCAAGGUAUGGUAAGAUUCUGUUUCAUUAUGAUCGUAAAAUAGUCAGCUAGAAAGAUAAUCAACCCAUCAAAUCUGAUAAUUUAACGACUGACAGUAUUUCUUGUUCACCUCGCAGUGUAGAAAUAGUUACUUAACUCUUAAGGUGUCUAGUUACUGGAGUCUAGUAAUUUACUGAAAUACUAAUUUUUUAAUGUAAUAAUUGAUUUGAUGCCAUUAAUAUUUCGCACUCGAGUUUACGUAUUAUUUCCGUACUACAAAGGCAAAUUAACAAUCCAUAAUUUUGGGCUGUAUUGCUUCAUCUAAUACUGAGGGGUGACAAACACUUGACUUGCGCUCUCUCAAAAUUCGAACUUGGUGAGUAUAUGGCUCAAAGGCAUAAGUCGCCUUGUUUAGUUCAAAAGGAAUCUGGCAAUUUUUUUCUAGUAGUUUUUGAAACAGAGGAGCUUCGACUUCGAUGCUCCCCUCAAAAAAAUUUAAACAUUUCUCGGUGUCGUAUGAGAUUUCUAACUUUAAAGGAGGUUCUUUGCUAGAAACAUCUAGAAGUGAUCUUAAUUCUUAUUCAUAUAUUGAUUACGUGUUGAUUAACAGCUCAAAUAGUUCUAAACUGUAUCACGUAACUUCAGUAGUGCGAUUAAGUCACGCUAGUUGCCAGCUGGAUCAAGCCUUCAAGACACUUCACACUAUUUUUUGAAUAGAUUUAUUGAGUGACAAAUAUUUACACUUCUUUAGUGCAUGCACGUCGUUUUACAAUGUCUGAUGUUACUUCUCAGAAUUGCCCAACACGACUGUGCUUCAACAAUUCAGUCACUUUUACAAACUCUUUGCUGUUCAUAGUGUAUAUGCUUUACCAACACUAUAUACAAUACGAUGCGAUGAACACCCCAAUUAAGUCGCAACUCUCAACUACUAUGUCUAUGAGACGCAGACUUGCAGCCUAUAUUCACACCGUAACAGAACAGUCCAUAGAUAUUUUUACUACCAUGAAAUUGUCAAUGUACAAAUUUCUUCUGCGUAAACUGGAUCACGUUUACAUAUAUUUUGUUCCUAUUUUGUGGUCCAUAAUCUAUCUACCAAAACUUUUCAUGUCAAGUCCCGUGACAUUCGUAUAUGAGAUUAGGUGUUCCCACUUCCCAUUACAACUGGCAAAUCCAAAUACAACAACUACAACUACAAAUAAUGUUUUUAACUGUAUAAUUAUCUUCAAUGCACGCACGAAAUACAUAUAAACUUCACAAAAAAAAUGUGUUCCUCCCCAGAGGUCCAGUAAGUUCUAGAAAUCCUUGAGAGUUUGGACUGCUCCACGCCUCCAGUGUAAUUAAUUAUUACAAAAGAAAACCGACGAGUCAGGCGAAUCUGGAAGCACUCUUCUCACAUGCAAUUGAGGCAAUCAGAAAUAACAUCGAUCCCAAUCACAGUGCAUGGUACGCCUGUUUUAAUCGCUGUAUCAGCAGGGUUAUUCUGCAGUACUAUAGCUAAAGUUGAUAUACUAUAGUCUAUACAGUCAUUAUCUUUGAGACACGAUAUCUUUCAAUUACAUAGCACAGUAAGGAUUCUCAGUGAAAAAAUAACCGCAAACAAUUUUGCAAUAACACUACUUACUCCUAAAACUCAAUAAUAGGAGAAGAUAUUCUGGUAACAAAUAAAACCGUGAUAUGAAAAAGAUCGUCCAAUUUACUCAUCAUGCUAUUCCUUGCUUACCUCGACCUUUGUCUGGAAGUGAGAUCUUGAUUGAUGACCAUGGCAGGGUUAAGCCGGUCAGCCAAAUUUUAAUUCUGCUUAGAACUGCGUAUAAUACAAGGAGAUCGACUUCAUCCGGUGUUAUUGCAAUAGCCAUUGACUGAUUUGAUUUGCUUGCAAUGAAUCAAUAUCAGUUCCAGUUCGAUGCAAGCGGAAUAUGCUCUCGUGUGCACAUAUUUUCUAUAAAAACAUGCCCCAAAUUUUUAACAAUGCAUUCUCACAAAUAGAGUUAAUUAUAUGAAAAGAGAUAGACAAAACAUUUCAUUUUUUUUAAGUCGCAGUGCUUGAAAUAUUAGAUGUUUGCGCAGUUAUUUAAUCCCCCCACUGUACAAUGAAAUCAGUAAAAUCAGUUAUAGUUAAGAAUUUGAAAAACAACGUUCUCCUUUGCCCACGUCUUAAUGCAUAAAAAUGUAGACCCUAUCUUUAAAGAUCAGUGCGCCAAUUCUAUUAGUAUUCUAAUAAAUAAUCUUAGUAGUACAAGACACCGUUCACACUACACACCGGAGCGGUUUGUCAGAUAAAUGGCGCGGAAAAGUCACAAUUAGCCGUCGCGUUCACACUACUCUGACUUUUGCCGGCCGUAACAAUUUGAGCACGAUUUCUAAACGGAGCAAGAUGAAAACGGAGCGCAUGGCAACUUCGUGUGAACAGCGGCACCGUCUUUAUCUUUGCUCCACUUCAGCAUUUUUUAUUAUUUUUUUUUACUUCAACAUUUUUUUAUCAUUUUAAAUUUUUUUCACUAUUUGAGCUCAUUUUGCGAACGACUUAGUGUGCACAGACCGUGGGGGUGAUUAUUUCGCUCGGGCCGCGUUGCGUGACGGUAAUCUUAUAAGUAUCACGAUAUAGCACUUCAAAGUCAAGUUCGGAAAUUUCGUCAUAGUGUAUGUAAAUACUGACUUUGUGAUCUGAGUGAAGGCUGGAAAUGAUCGACAUCAUCCAAUGUCAUAAAAAAAAUAAUGCAGUAUUUGCAGCUCCAAGGCAAGAUAUAAUUUCAUCGAUAUAGGUUUUUAAAAAAAUUAUAAUUCAUUUAUGACGUAUAUCACAAGAUCUUUUUCAUGUUAUUACUAUGAAGAUUGAAGGAUAAAAAUAUUUUGAAAAUAUCGACAACUUCAUGAAAUCAGCUUUUGACUUGUUACAAUCAACUAUAAUGAGAUCUUUUAUGCAUAUAGUUCUAUUUUGUUUCUAUCCUUUAUUAUUAAUAAACCUUUAUUCUUGACUUGCAACCAACCCUUGAGAAUUAUGGCCGCCAUGUUGAAAAACAAUAAAAUGCCAGCCAUGUUGGUGCCAAAUUCAGUGAGUUUCGAAAUGAAAUGAGAUUCUUUUGUUAAAAUACCACCGGCCGCCGUGCAAGUCAAGAAUUGAUGUUAUGUUUGGUAUAAAGAUUAUUAUUUCUGCACAAGAGACUUUUCCGAAACAUUUCACUAGCGCUGUGAAUUAAGUGGCCGUUUUACGUGCUAGAAUGGUAGUAUUCUAUAUAUGAAGAAUUUUGAUGGAAAACACCGAGAUGUUUCAUGUUGUUUAUUUGAAACUACAGCAUGACCUUGCAAUUGUGCAAACUCGCACGAUCGAUUGAGCAUGCGUCACUGACGCAUUUUCACCUGAAAAAACUUCCGUAUUUUGGUUUAUCCGCGCUUUAUUAUUUCCGAUAAACCUAUAUACUCACGUUCAUGGUAAAUAUUUAGUUGAAUAUUUUUAUAACUCCAUCUUCUACCAGUGAUCCUAUAUAAUGUACUGCAAAUUUGAUUAACUUUAUUAUCAAAUGUUGUAGGCUAAAUUCAUUCAAAUUUUACACAUUUUUUUUAACAACAAAAAAACUCUAGUCUCAAGCACUCAGCUCAACGUCAACUCUGGCUCAACGUGCAAAAGAGCACAUGAGUGACAUAGGAUAAAAUGAAAGUGCGUGACCUUUCUGUAUAAAGCUGUACAAUUCCGUCAAAUACGAGACGAUUUUACUCAUCGAACGGAAAGUUUGAAACCGGCCGAUCAACAGGUGUUAAUAAAGUCUCCUUAGAAUGAAAAUUGUGUCAAGAAGUACUCGAUCAAUUUCGGGUUAAUCUUUGGCAAACGCCUACCUAUGAGACACAUUGACUGCCUUUCAGUCUAUACUCUAUAGAAAUGUCUUGAUUAUAAAAAGUAUCGUCUAGCACUCGAGGAAAAUUACACCUGGGACAUUUCGCAAUGAUCCUAACCUUUAUAUACGACGGCCUCAUAACAAACUCUUCAAUUUUAAUAGUUCUAUGCAACGUAAGGUGGGAUGUCACAUGUGCGCCUUUUACGACCGAGCUUUGAUUCCUGCAUGCAAUGUGCAAUAUGCAAUUUUCUAUACUCUAUAGUUAUCAUUUGGCUUCGAUCAGAGUGACUCCAGCCAAUUUCCUAACUCCUGAAGUUCUUUAUAUUUUAUAGAGCUAUAUGGAGUGUACUAAACUGAGUUAAAAAAACUCAUUAAUAAUUCAGGAGGAAAACACAAAGAAAAAUCAUAAGCGUGUCGUAUCUUUAUAUGUGAUAAAAAAUCAUGUUAAUUUACAUAAACUUUAGCUUUGAUUUUCUCGGUUUUGACAAAGUUUAUUUUAAAAAUUACUUCGCCAAUGAACUCGUAUAAGAUGAGUCGUUUUUUAAGCCAUUUAAAGCACGCGUAGGAGUGUUUUAUCAGAUAUAAAACGCUCGACUGCACCUCGCGUUUUAUAUCUGAUAAAACACUCCUACGCGUGCUUUAAAUAGUACUUAGUUCGCUCCUGCUCGGCUUAAUAAUGAGAUAAUUUAAUUUUGAACAUGGCGUGAUAUUAGAACUGAAAAAUCAUUCUUUUAGGAUACAAAUCAAAAUUUUCCCAUAAUACUUAUUGAAAUAUUGUUACUUACAAUCGCAUGCAGGUUUCAUGCAAAUUUACGUAAAAAAGGACAAAAGUUUGUAUUGACUAUUGUUCGUGACAUGACCUGUCGACAUACCAUUUAUUCACCGUAGUCUUUAUAUUUUAUAUCUUUCAUUGGGCCUUUAAUUGCAUUGAUAAUACAGUAUACUCAGUCCAACGGAAACCUCUAUUAAAAUAAAUUUUGUUUUAUAACAUAAUACCAAUUUCCGUAAACAAUACCAAUUGCGUGAGAGUUGUGAGACCAAAACCGCAGACUGCUUGAUAAAUAAGCGCCCGAAGGAAUUGCGGAAUGAAAUAUGAGCAUUGGUCGGACGAAAAGAAGAAAAUUUGAAUCAACAACUAUUGUUUACUGAUGUUUGGGGCGGGCAAUCAAUCAAAGAUCAAUCCCUGCAGGUUGUUGAUACCAUAGACAAUGUGAGAAAGAUAAUAGUUCUCGAUAUUUUGAGGGAAAGGAGAAAUAUUGGUGCCGGUAGUCUUUCUCUGCAUUCUGACGAAUGCCGAGAAAAUACAAAAGAUGCACGAUGAAAAUACAUUCAUGCACGAUGUAAAUACAAAAGAAAUGAAUGUUUAAUCAAUGUUUGUAAAUCGGAUAAAGAUUUGUCCUGAUUUACGGCAUAAACUUCAGCUUUGAUUUUCUCGGCUUAGACAAUGUUUAUUUUUAAAAUUACUUCGCCAAUGAACUCGUAAGAUGGGUCAUUUUUUAAGUACGAUAAAACAUUCGUAUCCGAUCUGUAUCUGAUAUACAAACUCUCGCCUUCGGCUCGAGUUUGUAUAUCAGAUACAGAUCGGCUGCUCAUGUUUUAUCUAGUACUUAUUUAUUCCAAACAAAGUAGCAAGAGAGGUAUAAAGGAUACAAACAAAUUACAACUCUACAAGAUAAUACUGCCUAGAUUUAUUAUUACAUAAAUAUAUCUAAUUGUAUGAUUGUAGUAGAUCAAAAGUUGUUAAUAAUAUGUCAUAACAGUUUUUGGAAAGAAAGUUUAAAAAUCUAUCUCGCAAUGGCAAUGGUCUUCAAAACAAAAAUAAUUUAUUAAUUUUAUACAAGCUCCCAAUGUCAAUGAAAUUAUUCCUUAUUUGUUUUUAUCAUUAUAGCAAUAUAGGAUUAGGAUAAACAGCUAUAACUUCAAUCAACGUCUGACCAUGCAGUGUAACGAGCCUGAUUUGAAGGUCUCAUCAGCUCAGCUAUAUUUCAGCCAAUCAACACGGCGCCAAUGAAACGUGGUUGGCUGAUCCAUAGCCUAUCGAAGGGAAGAUCUGAUGGCAGUGAAACUCAUUAGAAUAACAAUAUAACUCGUUAUCUAUGCAUGUUGGUCAACGUUUAUUCAUAAAUCACCCGUGCAUGUGCAUUAUAUUUUUACAAUUUACCCUAUUCAAGUCACGGAUAGGUAACUUUCCUGAAACAUUGCUAUUGGUUAGUUGGGCAAAAAAACGGUGAAGGACCAUAUUUAUGAAUAAACGUUGACUAACAUAGAUAAUGAGUUAUAUUGUUAUUCUCAUGAGUUUCACAACCAUCUUCCCAGUUCGAUAGAGCGUUUGCACUCAUUCCCCAGGGACCAACUCAACAAAAGCCAUGGCGGUCGUAUUGGUGUUCCAGACAAAAGAGUCUAAUUAAAAUUAUUUUGAAUUGGAACACCAACAUGGCCGCUGUGACGUCAUGCGCAAACGCCAGGCAAUGGCUGAUCUGAUUAAGAAAAUUAAACCACAGUUAAUAGAAAUGGGAGUUAAUAGACAUGGACAAUGUCAUGAAUAAACAUAGAAAAAUCCUUAAGGACGAAAAAUUGGAUUUACUCAUAUUUACGCCAAGUAAAUGAAUAGAAAAUAUUAUAUUCAUUCAAAUUUGCUGAAAAGUAAACAAGGGGAAGACCUCAUUUGCUCUUUUUUUGCCAAAAUUAUUUAAAUACGGUCUUCCCCUUGUUUACUUUGCAGCAAAUUUGAGUGAAUAUAAUAUUUGCUAUUUAUUUACUUGGCGUAAAUAUGAGUAAAUCCAAUUUUUCGACUCCUGACCUAGUUGCUAAUAUUAUCAGUUUAAUCAACUAUGUUUAAUUUCCAUUUUUCAGAAAAUAUCAGAAAGUAAACUAAGACGGCUGAUAAGCCACCAGAUUAUCUCAAACAGACAUAAGAAGCAUCGAAUGAAUGCAUUCAGAUUGUUAAAAUCCUGAAAGAAUGAUGGACAUGCAUUAAAGCUUUGGACUGUUGCAAUACUGCACGCCUAGUGGUGGAUUAUUCGCCCAAUAUCAAAAUUAUGAUAGUUUCAACCUGACAGUAACUAAUAGAUAGGAAGGUCUUUAAUUAUAUGUAUAGACUGAAUGUGUAGAUAGGCGUACGGAAACUUUGUGGGGCGGACAAAAAUUUGCCCGACACUGAUGGAAAUUGGCCAUGCAUUAUCAUGGAUUUAUUGAUAGAUAAAUAGAGAAGGUGAUAAAUCGAAGGAAAUUUCAGUGACGAAGCUAGCCGUAUAGCAACUUGUCAUGCUAUGCAAAUUCGUGAUGAUUUGACUAUUCAGAUGCUGGUCAUUAGCAUAUAUAGCAUGACCAGUUGCUAUCGGUAGCUCGCCAAUUGAAGGAACAUAUGGCUCAUGUCACUAUUUACGAGUACUUCUAGGAUUUGAUUAUUUAAGAUACUUCGAAAACCACUCACUCUACUGCAUGCAAUUUGAAUUUAAUUGAAGAAGAAAUUUCAAUCUGACAAUCAGUUAUUCAGUUUCUCUGACUAAACUUACUAUCUCAUGCAACAUGAACAUUGAUAUCAUGACAAAAUCGAGAACUAUAGGGGCCAUUCACAAAGGAUGUCCGGCCAAAUGAUGGAUUUCCAGACCCCCCUCCCCCCCUUGUCCGGCAUUGUCCGAAUUAGUGACUCCCCCCGGACAUCCGCCAUGCC
rnacentral:lncRNA from 1 species